rnacentral:rRNA from 1 species
UACGUAGGUGACAAGCGUUGUCCGGAUUUACUGGGCGUAAAGAGCGCGCAGGCGGUCGUUCAAGUCGAGUGUGAAAGCCCCCGGCUCAACUGGGGAGGGUCACUCGAUACUGAUCGACUCGAAGGCAGGGGAGGGAAGUGGAAUUCCCGGUGUAGUGGUGAAAUGCGUAGAUAUCGGGAGGAACACCAGUGGCGAAGGCGACUUCCUGGCCUGUUCUUGACGCUGAGGCGCGAAAGCUAGGGGAGCAAACGGG